AAUGAACGCUGGCGGCGCGCCUAAUACAUGCAAGUCGAGCGAGAAGACGUAGCAAUACGUUUGUAAAGCGGCGAACGGGUGAGGAAUACAUGGGUAACCUACCCUAGAGUGGGGAAUAACUAGCCGAAAGGUUAGCUAAUACCGCGUACGCUCCUUGGACUUCGGUUCAGGGAGGAAAGCGAUGCCGAGGGUAUCGCGCUCUUGGAUGGGCUCAUGUCCUAUCAGCUGUUGGUGAGGUAACGGCUCACCAAGGCUUCGACGGGUAGCUGGUCUGAGAGGACGAUCAGCCACACUGGCACUGCGACACGGGGCCAGACUCCUACGGGAGGCAGCAGUAAGGAAUAUUGCGCAAUGGGCGAAAGCCUGACGCAGCGACGCCGCGUGGGGGA
rnacentral:rRNA from 1 species